AGAGAUCAUGACCUGAGCCAAAAUCAAGAGCUGGACACCCAACUGACUGAACCACCCAGGUGCCCCCUGACCAGAUAUUUUAAAAGGUGAUGUGGACAGGUGGCUGUGGGAUUAUUUCAGAGACACAGCCCAGUCAUAUUGGCAUUUCAGUCCUCUGCUGCCACAUAGACCUGUCUGCUGAGUUUUCGAGAGAGAGCCUUGUCCCUUUUCAUCUCCAUUCACUUACCUGGACAGCACAGUCCACCCAAAGCGUGGGAAUUUAAGAAAGUUGGGGGGGGGGGGGGGUGGCAAAAAUAAGUCUCUACUUGCCUCUGAUUUAAUCCCAAACAGUGGUUAACCAGUGAGCUGGGAAAAUUGUACAUAAAAACAGAGACAGUUGUUCAACUAAAAAUAACAACAACAACAAAUUAGAGCUGUUCUCGAGGGGCCAAUUCAAACAGUGUUUUUCUAGAAGCUUCCCUCUCGUAAAUCUCACUUCAGAUGACUCACUCCUUCCUCUCUGCAACCUUGAGUGAUGAAUCCACUCCUGCUCGAACGUCCAGCACUCAUUCCUGCCUCUCUGGCUUGGCCAAAUCCCUUCACCCUGUCACCCACCCCACCCAGUGAAAUGCUCGGAUCUUUCACACCGGAAGUUUCAUAUCCCUCACUGAUUUCAUCAUCCACAGGCUGCCAUCUCCUCUGAGUUCCUGUGGCUUUCCAGCAUUCCCGUGCAAGGCUGGGAAGGGGUACCUGGGCACGUGGUUGGGUCACUGGUCGCUACAGGAGCUGGUAGUCACCGAAGUCUGCCUGCCCGUCCCCCGCAGCUCCUCACGGGGUUUGCCACCCACUCAUUAACGAGAAUCUUCAGAUCUCUGCUAGAGUCCUGUUAGAGUUCAUGGCCCCAGAAAGGUCACAGCUGGAGGCCAACGUAUCAUGCCCACCAGAAAAGCUGAUUCCAGGACUAAAAACCACAGUGGCUUUUAAAGACCACAGAGAAAACGAAAGAGUUCAACACACAUGUGUCCUGAGAAGGCCUCCGUCUCUGGUAGGGUUUCCAAGUUGCAGACACAGCAGAAGAGAGGAGGGUACAGGCAGGAACUCUGUCUGGCAGAACAGGGUUUCAUUUAUGCUGAGCAUGGUGACUUCGUCCCCAGGAUUUCUGCACUGCCUUCAUGUGGUCUGAGAACCUUGGCGCGUUUUCCCCCAGUCUGACCAAAAUAGCUUAAAUGCAACAUGCCUGGUGAACAGAAGAGAAGGGAGGGAGAAGGGAAGGAAGGAAGGAAGGAAGGAAGGAAGGAAGGAAGGAAGGAAGGAAGGGGGGAGGGAAGGAAGGAAGGAAGGAAAAGGAAAGUGUAGGGAAGGGAAGGAAAGGAAAGGAAAGGAAAGGAAAGGAAGACAUUCACAAAAUUCCCGCACGCCUUUUCUCUGUGCAUUUCCUAAAUCAAGAUUAGCAAAAGGACUCACGGUUUUCUCAUUCCAGACGAGACUUGCUUUCACAUUUUUCUGUGCCCUUCUCUCAGGCAAGAUCUUAUGGAGAAGAGACAGAAUGCGCUGGGAAGCAGCAGCUUCCUUUCCCUCUUCUAUCAUGCUGAGCAAAGGCUGUUCCAGCAGAAAUGCUUUCUGGCAGGAGCGUGACCACCCUGUCCCGAUGCGCACAUCCCAAGUGCAAGGAUAAGCACUUCUGUUCCCAAAGAACGACCCCAAAGGGCACAGGGUUCCAUGGCAGGAUCCCAGAGGAGGGACAUAGCCCUGCCAAGAUGACUGCCUGUUGGACAGAGGAAGAGGGAGGGUAAAAGGCCACAGACACUAUCAAGCCUUGAGUGAUUCUCAAAAAUGGUGAAAAGAAAGUGUCUACAGUAUUGAAGACAAUAGGGGCGCCCGGGUGGCUCUGUCGGUUAAGCGUCCCACUUCAACUCAGAUCAUGAUCUCACGGCUCGUGAGUCCGAGCCCCCCAUCAGGCUCUGUGCUGACAGCUCAGAGCCUGGAGCCUGCUUCCGACCCUGUGUCGCCCUCUCUCUCUGCCCCUCCCCCACUCACGCUCUGUCUCUCCCCCUCUCUCUCUCCCAAAAACUAUAAUUAAAAAAAAAAAAAAAAAGUUAAAAUCAGGGCAGUAUCGGGGCGCCUGGGUGGCGCAGUCGGUUAAGCGUCCGACUUCAGCCAGGUCACGAUCUCGUGGUCCGGGAGUUCGAGCCCCACGUCAGGCUCUGGGCUGAUGGCUCAGAGCCUGGAGCCUGUUUCCGAUUCUGUGUCUCCCUCUCUCUCUGCCCCUCCCCCGUUCAUGCUCUGUCUCUCUCUGUCCCAAAAAUAAAUAAACGUUGAAAAAAAAAAAAAAUUUAAAAAAAUAAAAAAUAAAAAAAAUAAAAUCAGGGCAGUAUCGAAGACGAUACCUGCCCCCACCCAAAUCACUUAUUGAUGUUUGAGGUCAUGUGGUCGAUGGAACACCGUUGUGUUUCUCUGCUCCCCGAAUCCCAUUGAGAUGAAAGGGAAGGAGUAAAAUGGAUAUAAAUCCACAAGGACAAGAUAUGAGGGAGGAAACAAAGGAGAAAGAAAGGCUGACAAAUGUUUGGGUGAAGCGAAGCAGAUGCAGGAGAGACAAUCGACUUGCCAAAUUCUCUGGGAUCUUGAAAUUUUAAAAUAUGCAACGAGGGCCUUUUUGUAAGGAGUGAAAACCCCUUUAAUGACAAUUCCUAAGUGUUAGUUUUGGGCCGAGUUCUGAAUGCCAAGCACGUAUAUUUGCUGUAUUUGUUUCUUUUUUUUUUUUUAAGGCUGCUUUUUUUUUUUUAAUUUGAUUUUUAAGGAAUCUCCACACCCGACAUGGAGCUUGCCAUAUUCGUUUCCUUGUUUAUUUUCACUUUCUCGCGGUGCACGCGCAAUUCAUCCGCCUCCUUGCGUAACGUGGGGGUACCUGUGACUUGAACAAGCCCCGGUUCUUAACGUCAAAACGGACGCGGUGAACCGUGUCUGUGCGUGUGUAUGCACGCCCACUGUGUGCGGGUGAGCUGCACAAAAACGGGGCUGUCUUGCGGCUGUGUGCAAACACUCGCUUUUUCUUUUCAAGGUGGAACCUCAAGAGUGAUCUUUUUCUUGUGUCCCAUCUCAAAAAAUGAAUAUUUUUUCCCCCGAAUGCGGUAUCGACCAGGUUAAAGACAGAGUAUUCUAAAUCUAGUAAAGCUGAGCCCGGAUUGCUUAUGGAUGGGGAGCCAGUUCGCGAAAAGUCUCAGGAACUGGAGGCGCCACAGAUACAGCAAAACGCGGAGCAGAGACCUGGUCUUAAAGCUGGGGAGUCAGAUGAAAAUCUGUUUAAAAAAGAUCUCAGGUUCUCCUGCUGGACGUUCCAUGGAACGGCCCAGCUCCUCCCCCAUCCCACAGGAGAAGGGAGUUUGAGAGGCCUUCUCUCUGAGGCUGUUUGAUUUGCAUUUCAAAUUGGACUCCCCAACCCCUUUACUCACCCAGCUCGGAGAUCAUGGGCCACUGCCCACCUCCCACUGACAGAUGGGUGAUUUAAGAAUUCUCCUCCGGAGAAAGAGAACAGCUUCCGAGAAGAAGCCUACAGACGCUGACAUUUGGGAAGGCCACCGUGAAAAAAAAAAAGCUACAGAGAAACCCACCGUACAAAGCCAUUUGCGAAAAGUAAGAGGAAAACAAAUAGAAACAGAUUUUGCAGGGAACCCUGUGAUUAAUAUCCUCGGAGACAUAAGGGAAGAUAUUGUACGAUGUUUUGCAAAAGGAACAGAUUAUUAAUAAUAAUAAUAAUAAUAAUAAUAAUAAUAGCAGUUUUUAUUGAAAAUUUACUGUGUACCAGGCUUGUAUGAAAGCUAACUUUACCAGCACAGCAUUCCUUUACUCCUCAUUUAAUGCCUAUGAGUUGGGUACCAUUAUUUCCCCUCCAUUUUAUACAUGAGACAGCUGAGGUAAGGGAAGUGUCAAAGGUCAUACACCUAGAAAGGCGUGUAUACUAAAUAUAUUGAAUCCCUGAUUUUAACAACUACCGUAUUUAUAACGUCCCCCGAGAGAGCCUUUGAAAAAAAUUCUUGGAAAAACUCAAUCAAAAACCAUGAGAAAAACAUGAAAAAUAGAGGAUCAAUCCAGGAUCAAUAUAACACAUAUAUAUACAAAUGGGAAGAAAAUAAAAUGAAAGGAAUUAUUCUUUAUUUAUUUGUUUAUUUAUUUAUCUAUCUUCGAAAGAGAGAGCACGGGCACAUGCGGGGGGAGAGGGAGGGGGCAGAGAGAGCGGGAGAGAGACAGAAUCCCAAGCAGUCUCCGUAGGAUGUCAGCAUGGAGCCCAAUGCAGGGCUCGGGCCCACGAACCAUGAGAUCAUGACCUGAGUUGAAAUCAAGAGUCGGAUGCCCAGCUGACCGAGCUACCCAGCGCUCUGGAAGGAAUUAUUUUUAAAUAGUAUAAUAACAUUUCCUGACAUGUAAAUAAAAUAGGCUUUCAGACUGAAAUGAACAGAACAAGAGACUUGCAAACAAAAACCCAUCUGGGCACCCAUCUUCAUUCUGGGAAUGAAGAUAAGACCCUAAAAACUUUCAGAAAAAAGAGGUCACUUACAAAAGAUGGGAAUUAAAUUUGGCAUCAGAUUUCUCAACAGUAACCCUGGAAAGCUGGAAGUCCAUGGAGCCAUGCCUUCUGAAAUUUGAGUGAGAAUCCUAUCCAGCCUAACAUUCUAUACCCAGCCGAACCGUGAAUCAAGCGUGAGACACAGAAUGCACAGGAACUAACAAGUGUUACCUGUAGGAGGGAAACUGAGACCCGGGUGCGGGCAAGAGGCUGACUCUUCACCAUAUGCCAUUUUGUUCUGUUUGUUUACCAUACGCUUAUAUUAUAUUAUCCCAAUAAGUUUUUUAAAAGCUUUUUUACGUGGUCCUAAUAAUGACCUGGAUUUGGAAGGCGCCCAUCUUAAGUUACAAAGCACUUGGGUGAUGUCUUGUUCUUCACCAGUCCUCUCCCGUAAGCGUGAAAUACACCUGGUCAGGGGGCGGGGGGAAAGGGAGGUCAACCGGAACCUGUUUGCACUGCUGAUGGCGAAGAUCAUCUGGAAGACAAUUCUUGGGCGCGCCAAAGCCAAGACUCAUCAUUAGGCCAUUUGAAUAAAUCCAUGAGGGAAGGAAUGAAUAAAUGAGCAAGAAACAGCCAUGUGAGUCAUCUGGGUGUGGGUGAGUAACAGGAAGAGAGCAAAGUUAGGGGAAAUUACUUGGCAUUACGAAUCCUCCCUUGCAGAGAACUGACAUGUUCUCCAGGGAUAUAUCCUGAGUGCAGGGAGCCAGAUCGCAAUUCUGGAUCUAUUCUUGCCACCUUAAUGUGAGAAGCUGCCGUCUGCUGUAGCUGAUUUAUCUGCAUACCAUCAUUAAGUAGCAUACAGAUCAACGUCCCGAUUUUUAAUUGCCAUUAUCUGUCUCUGGGAGAAGAGAAACUCUAUGUUUCCUGUGAAGCGUGAGCUAUACCUGAUUACAAUUCUGCUCAUACACUUGAUGUAAGAAGAAUAUUAAAGCUCACUGCAGUCCUUAAGAGCUUAUCUAAUACACUAAUUAUUUUUAAGCCCUUUAAAAAGAGUUGGUGUUAAGUGAACAGUAUGAUGAAUAUGGUCAACUUUUUACAAAUAUGUUAGUAAGAAUGUAUUCCAAGCACUUUACCUGAAUGAUCACAGCUCGGUAGCAUCAGCCUCUCGGAGAAAGAUUAAAAUAGUCUUUAAUGUUGGAUA